rnacentral:rRNA from 1 species
UACAGAGGGUGCGAGCGUUAAUCGGAAUUACUGGGCGUAAAGCGCGCGUAGGCGGCUUUGCAAGUCGGGUGUGAAAUCCCCAGGCUUAACCUGGGAACUGCAUUCGAGACUGCAUUGCUAGAGUAUGGGAGAGGGAAGUGGAAUUUCCGGUGUAGCGGUGAAAUGCGUAGAUAUCUGGAGGAACACCGGUGGCGAAGGCGGCAUCCUGGACCGACACUGACGCUGAGGCGCGAAAGCUAGGGUAGCAAACGGG